rnacentral:rRNA from 1 species
GACGUAGGGUGCGAGCGUUGUCCGGAUUUAUUGGGCGUAAAGAGCUCGUAGGCGGCUCGUCGCGUCGACCGUGAAAACCCGCGGCUUAACUGCGGGCUUGCGGUUGAUACGGGCGGGCUAGAGUUCGGUAGGGGAGACUGGAAUUCCUGGUGUGGCGGUGAAAUGCGCAGAUAUCAGGAGGAACACCGAUGGCGAAGGCAGGUCACUGGGCCGCAACUGACACUGAGGGACGAAAGCUAGGGGAGCGAAUGGG